rnacentral:rRNA from 1 species
CCGCGUGCAGGAAGACGGCCUUCUGGGUUGUAAACUGCUUUUUUCAGGGAAGAAAACGCCCAUGCGUGGGAGAUUGACGGUACCUGAAGAAUAAGCACCGGCUAACUCCGUGCCAGCAGCCGCGGUAAUACGGAGGGUGCAAGCGUUGUCCGGAUUUAUUGGGUUUAAAGGGUGCGUAGGCGGCUUUUUAAGUCAGUGGUGAAAUGCGGCAGCUCAACUGCCGGAGUGCCAUUGAUACUGAAAAGCUUGAGUAUAGAUGAGGCAGGCGGAAUUUAUGGUGUAGCGGUGAAAUGCAUAGAUACCAUAAAGAACACCGAUAGCGUAGGCAGCUUGCUAAACUAUAACUGACGCUGAGGCACGAAAGCAUGGGUAGCGAACAGGAU